GCUGAUUUGGCCGAGUGGUCUAAGGCGGUGGUCUUAAGAUGCUACCAGUAUCACCAUUAUCGAGAGAUGCGUGAGUUCGAACCUCACAGUCAGCA
rnacentral:tRNA from 1 species